CUGGCGGCAUGCCUUAUACAUGCAAGUCGAACGAGAAAGUCACUUCGGUGGCGAGUACAGUGGCGCACGGGUGAGUAACGCGUAGAUGAUCUACCCUUCAGCCUGGGACAACUCUUGGAAACGAGAGCUAAUACCGGAUAAAACCUUCGGGUUGAAAGAUUUAUCGCUGGGGGAUGAGUCUGCGUACCAUUAGCUUGUUGGUGGGGUAACGGCCUACCAAGGCGACGAUGGUUAGCGGGUCUGAGAGGACGAUCCGCCACACUGGAACUGAGACACGGUCCAGACUCCUACGGGAGGCAGCAGUAGGGAAUAUUGCGCAAUGGGGGCAACCCUGACGCAGCAAUGCCGCGUGAGUGAAGAAGGCCUUCGGGUCGUAAAGCUCUUUUAUGGGGGAAGAUGAUGACGGUACCCCAUGAAUAAGCACCGGCUAACUACGUGCCAGCAGCCGCGGUAAUACGUAGGGUGCGAGCGUUGUUCGGAAUUACUGGGCGUAAAGGGCGUGCAGGCGGAUUGGCAAGCCGGAGGUGAAAGCCCGGGGCUCAACCCCGGAGGGUCUUUCGGAACUGCCAGUCUUGAGAGGGUCAGGGGCCAGCGGAAUUCCUGGUGUAGAGGUGAAAUUCGUAGAGAUCAGGAGGAACACCGGCGGCGAAAGCGGCUGGCUGGGGCCACUCUGACGCUGAGGCGCGAAAGCGUGGGGAGCAAACAGGAUUAGAUACCCUGGUAGUCCACGCCGUAAACGAUGGGCACUAAGCGUCCGACGGGUUCGACCCUGUUGGGUGCUGCAGUUAACGCGUUAAGUGCCCCGCCUGGGGAGUACGGUC
rnacentral:rRNA from 1 species